AUUGAACGCUGGCGGCAGGCCUAACACAUGCAAGUCGAGCGGAUCGGCGGUCGGGUGUGUAAUGCCUAGGUAUCUGCCUGUUAGUGGUGGAUAACGUCCGGUAACGGGCGCUUAUACCGCAUCCUAUCAGCUUAGCCUAGGUCGGAUUAGCUUGGUGGUGGGGUAAAGGCCUACCAAGGCGACGAUCCGUAACUGGUCUGAGAGGAUGAUCAGUCACACUGGAACUGAGACACGGUCCAGACUCCUACGGGAGGCAGCAGUGGGGAAUAUUGGACAAUGGGCGAAAGCCUGAUCCAGCCAUGCCGCGUGUGUGAAGAAGGUCUUCGGAUUGUAAAGCACUUUAAGUUGGGAGGCGUUACCAACAGAAUAAGCACCGGCUAACUUCGUGCCAGCCGCCGCGGUAAUUG
rnacentral:rRNA from 1 species